rnacentral:rRNA from 1 species
AUGGACGCGGUGACGGUGCUGGCUAAUGCUGAGGUGCCUGAGACUAGGCCCUUGGUGACGGGUGCUGUCGGUGCCGCCAACAAGACAGAUGCUGAUAGAGCUUCCAAGUGGUCUCGUAAGAAUGAGAAGAUGUUGUGUUAUCGUUGUGGUGAGAGGGGCCACUUUAUAGCUGAAUGUGUGACUGAGUUAUGUGAUGCCUGCCUCAAGCCAGCGCAUGACACGGGGGAGUGCCCGAUACUGCGUGAUCAGAUGCCGAGUAUUAGCAUUUAUGGAGUUUAUUAUGCCGAGUUGAUGUUUUUUGAGUCUCCUAGUGCGAGGGAGAUCCCAGAGGAGCCCCAGAGCACGACCACGGGGAUUGUCAGAGUCACGAAAGGUGGCUUAGUGAGUUAG